AUACGUAUGUUCCAAGCGUUAUCCGGAUUUAUUGGGCGUAAAGCGAGCGCAGACGGUUAUUUAAGUCUGAAGUGAAAGCCCUCAGCUCAACUGAGGAAUGGCUUUGGAAACUGGAUGACUUGAGUGCAGUAGAGGAAAGUGGAACUCCAUGUGUAGCGGUGAAAUGCGUAGAUAUAUGGAAGAACACCAGUGGCGAAGGCGGCUUUCUGGACUGUAACUGACGUUGAGGCUCGAAAGUGUGGGUAGCAAACAGGAUUAGAUACCCUGGUAGUCCACACCGUAAACGAUGAGUGCUAGAUGUUCGAGGGUUUCCGCCCUUGAGUGUCGCAGCUAACGCAUUAAGCACUCCGCCUGGGGAGUACGACCGCAAGGUUGAA
rnacentral:rRNA from 1 species